UCCCUGGUAGCUCAGUUGGUAAAGAAUCUGCCUGUAAUUCAGGAGACCCAGGUUCGAUCCCUGGGUGGGAAA
rnacentral:tRNA from 1 species